ACUGGACCCUGAACAGAAGUGGAAGUACGUCAUUAUGAACAAGGGAUAGGGGUUGGUGCAUCUUACUGUUGUUGUGUUUUAGCAGUUAGGUCUUUUUCAGCAUGCUAGUGGCCGUGGUCAUGCGUGGUGAGCAACCAUGCAUAUUGCUAGAUGCAGGUGUAAUUGCACAUCCAGGGGUUUCCAGUAACUUGUUUGGAGAUGAAUGUACAUCAGCGAUGUGACUGCACUGCUGCUUUGGUUUUAGUGUUUGUUGGGUGACUGUUUUAACUUCGUCUGUCUUGGUCUUAUUUUGGUUUAUUUUGUUUGUAUGGGUUUUUUCUUUUUCUUAUUCAUUCAUGAGCAUCCAUUCAUUAAUAUUUGAGUUAGCUGGGAGGCAAGUAAGAUAUAUAUAUAUUUGGCCUUUGUCUGCCAUUUUGUUACUCCCGUUGGUGCAUAUGACUGCUCAUUUGUUUUAUAUUAGUUUUUUCUUUUUGUUUUUCAUUGAUUGUACAAGUAGUUGUUGAAUCUCUGUGUGGACUCCUUUUAGAGUAGAUUGUUCUGUUGUGGUAUGAAAGUGAGAAUUUUGGAUGUGUUUAUUGUUUGUAUGAGUUAACUGUUUUGUCAUUUAGGAGUAAACUUUUUUUUUAAAGCAGGGGUUGCAGUCUUUUAGCGUGUCGAUGGAGUGCAGUGCUUAACCAAUUGUAUUGCUCUCACAACUGUGUGCUCUGUGUAUGGUGUGAGGUGAAAAUCCAAAAGGUCCCCGCUGGCCAUUUCUCUCCUACUGCUUAUUUCGGUAACUGGUGUAUUUGGUUUUUUUUUUUGGUUUUUUUUUAAGUCUUGACUUUAAGUAAAGACUUAAGUGAUCUUGUGUACAAAUGUUAAAUGUAAUGUCUCAUUUGUGUAUAUAAAUAA